AUCCUCCGUUUGGUUCCCGAGAAAAACCUAGAAAAAAGAAAAGAAAAUAAAAGCACAGAGAAUUAAGAUUAAGCCCAAAUACCAAUUAAGGCGAGGGUUUAUAUCCAAAUUCCUAAACAAUGAAGCUUCCCUACAACACUCUAUCUCUCCUUUCCUUUCUUUUCUCACAUUUUCUCAGUUACCAAACAGAGCCAAUUAAACCUAACCCUACACUUCUCAAUGUCGAAAUCAGCUCUCUUUCUCCAAACCUAUCACACUAAUUAACUACCAAUGAGGAUCACAAACCCAUUUAACCAUUUUGGCAGAAUGUCAGCUAGCACAGCCAAUAUAGUAGUGGUGGAAGUCAUUGUGGACCUGAGGUUCUCCUUCGAAUUUGGGAUGGCAUACAUGCUACUAACUGUCUCUUCAGGUUGGAUAGCAAGUCUGUAGCUAUUCAAUAAAGAAUGAUCUUACAACCUUCAUGUAAAUUAUACUAACACAGACUGUGUGGCAUCCUUACUUGACUCAAUUAUCAAUGCGACAGUGGAUGGUUGACAUGUCAUGGGCCCCGAUGGCUCUGGCAUGGCAGUUCCGUUCGGAUUGCGUGUCGUGUUGGAAUUUAUACAUUAACUUGGUGAUUAGAAAUUUCUAACUAGUAUCAUAUUAUUAGUUUUAGCAGAUGCAAAUUACUAUAUUGGAAGAUGUUCAUUCACGUUUUGCUUUAGUACAUUAUUUAUUAUUUGAUGUAUGAUUUUGUAAACUGAGAAGUGUGGGGGUAGGAAACAAUUUUUUGGGAGAGAGAUGUAAUAGCUUAACUGCUUUUGUUUUAUUAUUAGGGUGCCUUUUUUCUGCUUUUAAAGUUAUUGGCUGGUGUGUGACAUGUUAUAAGUGAUAAAACAUUAAAUUGGAUGCAUGUCUGCCAUCUCCCAUCUCUCUUAUAUCUGUAGGCAAUAUGAACUAAGGAUUUAUUUUUCUGCAGUGGUGUGUGCAUAUAAGCAACGGAAGUAAUAUGGUUAUCCUUACAUAGAAAAGAGGUUUUGUUAUAAUAAA